GGCGGGCGGUGGGCGCUCGCGCCGUUCUUCGGCGGCUCGGCACCGCAGCGGAGACGGCGGGGAGAUGUCAUGGCGGUGUGCUCCCAGCCAUCUCUAGCAGCAGCGGAAAUGCGACAUCCGGCUUAGGGAAUAUCAACUACAAGGAACUUGCUUGCAGAUGAUGCUAUGGCUCCUAUUUCUUCUCCUUUGACGCCACCACUCGGUGACAGUGAAGAGACUGACAAAAAGGGGGCUGUGGUUAGGCGAUUGAAGGUCCAAGCCAUAAAAAAGAUAUC